GACGAACGCUGGCGGCGUGCUUAACACAUGCAAGUCGAACGGAAAGGCCCUGCUUUUGUGGGGUGCUCGAGUGGCGAACGGGUGAGUAACACGUGAGUAACCUGCCCUUGACUUUGGGAUAACUUCAGGAAACUGGGGCUAAUACCGGAUAGGAGCUCCUGCUGCAUGGUGGGGGUUGGAAAGUUUCGGCGGUUGGGGAUGGACUCGCGGCUUAUCAGCUUGUUGGUGGGGUAGUGGCUUACCAAGGCUUUGACGGGUAGCCGGCCUGGGUGGGUGACCGGCCACAUUGGGACUGAGAUACGGCCCAGACUCCUACGUGGGGCAGCAGUGGGGAAUAUUGCACAAUGGGCGGAAGCCUGAUGCAGCAACGCCGCGUGCGGGAUGACGGCCUUCGGGUUGUAAACCGCUUUCGCCUGUGACGAAGCGUGAGUGACGGUAAUGGGUAAAGAAGCACCGGCUAACUACGUG
rnacentral:rRNA from 1 species